CAAUAGCGUAUAUUUAAGUUGUUGCAGUUAAAAAGCUCGUAGUUGGAUUUCGGGUGGGACGCAGCGGUCUCGCAUUGCGUUUGUACUGCUGCAGCCCUCCUUCUUGCCGGGGGCGGCCUCUCGGACUUCACUGUCUGGGGGUCAGAAUCGGCGAUGUUACUUUGAGUAAAUUAGAGUGUUCAAAGCAAGCUUACGCUGUGAAUAUAAUAGCAUGGGAUAACACGACAGGACUCUGGCCUAUCGUGUUGGUCUAUAGGACCAGAGUAAUGAUUAAGAGGGACAGUCGGGGGCAUUCGUAUUCCGUUGUCAGAGGUGAAAUUCUUGGAUUUACGGAAGACGAACAUCUGCGAAAGCAUUUGCCAAGGAUGUUUUCAUUGA
rnacentral:rRNA from 1 species